UAAGCGGAGGAAAAGAAACUAACAAGGAUUCCCCUAGUAACUGCGAGUGNAGCGGGAAAAGCUCAAAUUUAAAAUCUGGUGGUCUUUGGCCGUCCGAGUUGUAAUUUAGAGAAGCGUCUUCCGCGCCGGACCGUGCACAAGUCUCCUGGAAUGGAGCGUCAUAGAGGGUGAGAAUCCCGUCUUUGGCACGGAUGCCCGGUGCUUCUGUGAUGCGCUCUCGAAGAGUCGAGUUGUUUGGGAAUGCAGCUCAAAAUGGGUGGUGAACUCCAUCUAAAGCUAAAUAUUGGCGAGAGACCGAUAGCGAACAAGUACCGUGAGGGAAAGAUGAAAAGCACUUUGGAAAGAGAGUGAAACAGUACGUGAAAUUGUUGAAAGGGAAACGCUUGAAGUCAGUCGCGUCGACCGAGACUCAGCCUUGCCUCGGCUUGGUGUACUUCUCGGCCCGACGGGUCAGCGUCAAUUUUGCUCCUCGGAUAAUGGCAAGGGAAAGGUGGCACCUUUACGGGUGUGUUAUAGUCUCCUGUCGCAUGCGAGGGGUGGGAUUGAGGAACUCAGCGCGCACCUCGGUGUCGGGGCUUCUGCCCACGUCACGCGCUUAGGAUGCUGGCGUAAUGGCUUUAAACGACC
rnacentral:rRNA from 1 species